rnacentral:rRNA from 1 species
AACGAACGCUGGCGGCAUGCCUAACACAUGCAAGUCGAACGAGACCUUCGGGUCUAGUGGCGAACGGGUGCGUAACGCGUGGGAAACUGCCCUUAGGUUCGGAAUAACUCCCCGAAAGGGGUGCUAAUACCGGAUAAUGUCUUCGGACCAAAGAUUUAUCGCCUUUGGAUGGGCUCGCGUUGGAUUAGCUAGUUGGUAGGGUAAAAGCCUACCAAGGGGACGAUCCAUAGCUGGUCUGAGAGGAGGAUGAGCCACACUGGGACGGAGACACGGCCCAGACUCCGACGGGGGGAGGGGUGGGGGAAUAUUGGGAAUGGGGCGAAACCCUGUCCCACCAAGGCCGGGUGAGUGAGGAAGGCCUUGGGGUUGAAAAGCUCUUUUCCCCGGGAUGAAAAUGACAGAACCGGGAGAAUAAGCCCCGGCUAACCCCGG